AACAAAAAAACAAAAAACAAAACUUCAACUAAUAAACAGGACUAAAUGAAACUUUAACACUGCCAUGUCUGAACCUUUGAACUUGAAUCAAGAACAAAAUACUCAAUAGGUUUUGAAAGCACCCAGAUGUAGAUUCACACUCAGUUUGAAUUCAACAUGGAUGAUGCUGAGACCUGGUCAAUAAACUGUUCAUUUUUAACAUAUGAAUUUGAAGAAUAAGGUGAAAGACUGUGAAAGCUUUAUUUGGAGGUCAGCCACACACAUGUGGCAUGUUGUAUAUUUAGAUCAUGCCAGACAUGGUAGAACUAAGGGAUGGAUUGCAAAAGCACAUGGGGCAUGCUUUAGUGAAGAAUUUGUGAGCUAAUAACUGUUUCUAAGUAAAAUUUAAAUCAACCUUAGAACUGAAAGUUCAAUAACAUUAGCCUAAAUUCAUCUUCAAUAAAUUGUACUUUUGAUAUUCAAAUAAAAUCCAUGAGGAGCUACACAGCCCAUUAGCUUGCACCACAUGUGCUAUGCUAUUUAAGAAUGAAGUGAACUUAGACAUAUUAAAAAUUUGUUCUAAGUGAGUUGAAUGUUGUAAAAGAACUUUAAUACAGCAACAUGACUGCUGUGUCAAGGGAUCACAUCCAAAGAUAUGAUCCAGCACUCUGGCUGGAAUACAGAGAUGCCUUUAGUACAAACCUUUAAUCCCUAACAAUAGAUGUAAGGUUAGUUUAUAGAAGGAAGAAGCCACCACAUUUGAAAGUGAUAUCUAAUUGAGAGGGACAGACAUAGUGACAAAUCAGAGAAAGAUUUCACAGAAUGAGACAGAGGUAGGGUACACCCAAGUCUCAUGAGAAUGCACAGAAAAGAGAGGCUACUGAAGGCGAUGAGGGAGAGAAAGGGGGCAAUGUGUCUGGCAAGAUUUGUGGCAGUUACCAGGACAGUUUUGCAGAAGCUAGAUACAGAGGAAGACAGAAUGAGCCAGAGAAUGAGAAGGAGCCGGAGAAGUAGGCCGACUUGCCAAAGUGAGGACGAGGAUAAGCAGAGCAAUUCAGUGAGAAGCUGAGGGAAGCCAGCUUGAAUAAGUCAGCUUGGAGAAAAAUUUGAGCUAGAACAGCUGAGUUAAACCAGCGAACGAGAGUUCAGAAAGGGCUAGUUUAUUUAGCAGUAAGUCUCAGAGGCUGAAUUCUAGGUGUAGAUUAGCAUAUGGAAGAUAGAAGCUCAAUCCUUCAAGGUCUGGGUUUGCAGAAGAUUACAUUGUUCAGAGGCUAGAACGUUCAAGGCUUAGGUUUAGGGAAAGAACAGAGAAGAAAAUGCUCUGUGCUCAGCCCUAUCCAUGUAUUCAAAGUUUGUACCAGCUCUCACCCAAUGAAUCAUCCAAGUAAAUGAAAGUGACAUUUACAUGUACACCAGAUACAUUUCAGAAGACCUGUUUAAGAACAAUAAACUUAUGAAUAAAAAUUAAAAUAAGCUGGGCGUGGUGGUGCACGCCUUUAAUCCCAGCACUCAGGAGGCAGAGACAAGUGGAUUUCUGAGUUUGAGGCCAGCCUGGUCUACAAAGUGAGUUCCAGGACAGCCAAGGCUACACAGAGAAACCUGGUCUUGAAAACAAACAGACAAACAAAUAAGCAAAUAAUAAAAAUAAAAACAUAACAUAAUCACACGUAAAAAAUAAUUCAGAUUUUCUAGAGAAAAACAUUCAAAAACAGGAAGAUAAUGAAGGCACUUCAUAUACUAGAAAUAUAAAUUAUUAAAGAAAAUUGCAGGUAUAUGCUACGCAUACAUACUUACAUGUAGAAAAUGAAAUAAAUAAGAAGAAUUAUGUCUUUCAAACAUAAAAUGAAACAAAGCCGAUUACAAAUUAAUUGAAAAAAAUUAAAAAUGAAAAGAAUAUAAAAUAAUAUAGUUACAGAAUUUUCUAAUAAAUUUUAGUAUUGAAACCAGUAGCUGGAAAACAGUAUUAGAUCUUAGAAGAAGUAAAUAUUAAAAGUAAAUCGGUUGUGCUUGUUCAUCUGAAUGUUAAAUAUAUUAAAACAACAAAGGAGGAAGAUUAAGCAAAAAAAUUCUUCAGCGCCUCAAGCAAGUACAUAGAAAUUAUAUAAAUUUUCAGAUUUUAAAUUAUAUAAUAUGUAUUUAUAUAUGUAGUAAUGUAUAAUACACAUAAUUAAAAUAUACAUAUAUUCCCAUAAAUGCCAAUUAAGUACAUAUGUACAAUGUAUAUGUAUAUAUGAUAUACUUACAUAAGAAAGUUUUCAAUGAUUUUUUUUUAUUUGUGCUUUAAACAGUAUGUAGCAACUCUUGCCAUUCUGGUAUACUAAGUUGAUCCUAAAUAACGAAGUGAAAAUCUCCAGAGUUAAGUAGGUCACAAGUUUUAAGAUAUAUGCCAUUCUGUGUGUGUGAUGAAAUCUCUCUCUAUCUCACUGAGAAUGUGAGCUAUUCAUUGGAACAGCACUGAUCCUUCGUAGAUAUUACUUGGCCAUUUAGUUCCUCAGAACCUACUCUUUUAUCAGAUCAGUUGUCAAGAUGAUGUAGUAUUUUCUUUUAACUCUCAUUUACUUAAUAAGUUUCCCAAAGUGUAUGGCUAACACUGCUAGAUGAGUAAUAUUCCAAAGGAAGUUAUUAGUAAUGUAUUUUUAUUAACAGAAAGUGGUGAGUGUUUUUAACUUAAUAAUCAAUGUUUUUCCUAAUGUCCACAAUAAAAUCAAUCUUUUUAUUAUAUAAUUUCCAAAUUAAAAAAAAUAAAAACAAAAUCAUGCUCAUCUUUCUUUUACAAAAAUAAGUGCAAAAACUUAGUACAGGCAGUUAAGGGUAUAAUUAAAAUGGUGCAGACAUUGAUUUCAUGUGUUAGUAUGCAUAAUAUUCCCAUCUUCCAUACUUUGCUUUAAGGAGUGAUGCUGGCUCCUACAUUGGGGGCCCUGUGUUCCGUCUUAUAGAUGACUGUGAGCAUCCACUUCUGUAUUUGCCAGGCACUGUCAUAGAGUAGAGAAAGCUUCUGUAAUCAAUUGUUAUCAAUUGUGAUCAACGGUAAUUAAACAUUAGCUGCUUAUUUUAGUUAUUGUUACUCAAUGUGCCCACAUCAAUUCUUUGGUAAAAGAGAACAAUCAUGUGGAAUCAUCUUUCUUCAUUUCCAAGUAAAGUCUUAACAUCCUAGUAUG
rnacentral:lncRNA from 1 species